UCUACUUUUUGCUUUUUCAAUAAAUAGGUAAUUGAAAUUACUCAAGCGAAUAGAAUUGUUUACCGUUUGAAUCAUUUCACAGAUUAAUUUCAUGCUCUGCACGAAAUUCUAUUUUGAAGUAUUGCCAAUGCAUACAUUUGAAUAAGUAUCACUAGCGGUGGAUAGCCUAGAUGGACUUGUAUCUAAUCUCUUAAGAGCUGUUUUAAUUAUAUAUUAACUUGCUAACAUAAAAUAUAGUAAUGACGUGCAAAAUACUUAUUUAUUUUGCAAUUGCGAGUUGUAGCGCUGUUUGUGCUGCAACAAUACGAUCAGCGGAUCAAAUCAAAAUAUAUGCUCCUAAAGAGUGGAAACUUCGUGAAGGCUACAAGAACUCGCGUGCGUCAGAAAAUCAGCAGCGGGCCGAUAUCAACCUGAUGGCUCGCAAACUGCAUCACAAGCUUAUGGCAAUUAUCACUGCUGGCAA